rnacentral:rRNA from 1 species
AUUGAACGCUGGCGGCAGGCCUAACACAUGCAAGUCGAACGAGUGGCGGACGGGUGAGUAAUGUCUGGGAAACUGCCUGAUGGAGGGGGAUAACUACUGGAAACGGUAGCUAAUACCGCAUACCAUCAGAUGGGCCCAGAUUGGAUUAGCUAGUUGGUGGGGUAACGGCUCACCAAGGCGACGAUCCCUAGCUGGUAUGAGAGGAUGACCAGCAACAAGUGGACUGUGACAUGGUCCAGACGCCUACGGGAGGCAGCAGUGGGGAAUAUUGCACAAUGGUCUCAAGCCUGAUGCAGCCAUGCCGCGUGUAUGAAGAAGGCCUUCGGGUUGUAAAGUACUUUCAGCGGGUAGGCGUUACCCGCAGAAGAAGCACCGGCUAACUCCGUGCCAGCAGCCGCGGUAAUUC